rnacentral:rRNA from 1 species
CCUACGGGGGGCAGCAGUGGGGAAUAUUGGACAAUGGGGGCAACCCUGAUCCAGCCAUGCCGCGUGUGUGAAGAAGGCCCUCGGGUUGUAAAGCACUUUCAGUGAGGAAGAACGCCUGGUGGUUAAUACCCAUCAGGAAAGACAUCACUCACAGAAGAAGCACCGGCUAACUCCGUGCCAGCAGCCGCGGUAAUACGGAGGGUGCGAGCGUUAAUCGGAAUUACUGGGCGUAAAGCGCGCGUAGGUGGCUUGAUAAGCCGGUUGUGAAAGCCCCGGGCUCAACCUGGGAACGGCAUCCGGAACUGUCCAGCUAGAGUGCAGCAGAGGAAGGUAGAAUUCCCGGUGUAGCGGUGAAAUGCGUAGAGAUCGGGAGGAAUACCAGUGGCGAAGGCGGCCUUCUGGACUGACACUGACACUGAGGUGCGAAAGCGUGGGUAGCAAACAGGAGUAGAUACCCGAGUAGUC